rnacentral:rRNA from 1 species
GACGAACGCUGGCGGCGUGCCUAAUACAUGCAAGUAGAACGCUGACGCGAGGAGCUUGCUCUUCUUGGAUGAGUUGCGAACGGGUGAGUAACGCGUAGGUAACCUGCCUUGUAGCGGGGGAUAACUACUGGAAACGAUAGCUAAUACCGCAUAACAAUGGGUGACACAUGUCAUUUAUUUGAAAGGGGCAAUUGCUUCACGUCAAGAUGGACCUGGGUUUUAUUAGCUAGGAGGUGAGGUAAUGGCUCACCUAGGCGACGAUACAUAGCCGACCGGAGAGGGUGAGAUGCCACACUGGGACUGGGAGACGGCCCAGACUCCUGCGGGUGAGAGCAGUAGGGAAUCUUCGGCAAUGGGGGCAACCCUGACCGAGCGACGCCGCGUGAGUGAAGAAGGUUUUCGGGUCGUGAAGCUCUGUUGUAAGUCAGGAACGGGUGUGAGAGUGGAAAGUUCACACUGUGACGGUAGCUUAACAAAAAGGGACGGCUAACUACGUG